AAACCAUGGUUAGGGCAAUCCCUAGUGUACUUCUUGAAACGUUCUAAUGCCUCAAAGAAUGAAUUCGUCACUCAUUGCUUGAAACUUGAGAUUUUGUUCCUCAU
rfam:Arabis alpina cultivar Pajares Aa.chr7_contig_2352, whole genome shotgun sequence.